CAGCAGCCGCGGUAAUACAGAGGGUGCGAGCGUUAAUCGGAUUUACUGGGCGUAAAGCGUGCGUAGGCGGCUUCUUAAGUCGGAUGUGAAAUCCCUGAGCUUAACUUAGGAAUUGCAUUCAAUACUGGGAAGCUAGAGUAUGGGAGAGGAUGGUAGAAUUCCAGGUGUAGCGGUGAAAUGCGUAGAGAUCUGGAGGAAUACCGAUGGCGAAGGCAGCCAUCUGGCCUAAUACUGACGCUGAGGUACGAAAGCAUGGGGAGCAAACAGGAUUAGAUACCCCCGUAGUCCCUGUCUCUUAUAC
rnacentral:rRNA from 1 species